rnacentral:lncRNA from 1 species
CUUGUGUUCACUUUAAAUUUCUUCUUCAGUAUUUUUUUUGCUUCUUGGGUUUUAGUUGUUUUUUUCUUCAUCUUUGAGUUUGAUGCAUUCAGCGCUGGACUAUCUUUAGAUUCCAAGUCAAAAACAUCCCGCCGUUUCACUGUCAGCAAAUCAAGAUCUUUAGUAUCAUCAUCGUCGUCGUCAUCUUCAAAGAACUGCAUGGAGUUUGUGUAUGGAACCCUGCUUGACAAAG